CCCGCCCCCCCAAUCCGCGAGGACAACCGGUAAGACCUGCCGCACCGCUCCUCCAUCUUCUGUAAAUUGUGCGAGAGGUGAACAACGACCAAAUCUCAGGAGUAAUGCUUGGUUAUUCAUAAAUCAUUCUUGGAAGUACAUGAAUUAUCAAAAGCAAGGGUUGAAUUUAUUUUGUGCCCUUGUUGAGGAGGUGACAGCGGUGAGUUACAUGUGAGAUGCGGAUGGAGGCGGUAGUGCUCAUCUGCCAUGAGUGCUUCCUUGGCCGGUGAAUUGGCCUUGGUGGCUUCUCAAUGGGAGGCCUUCGAGACUUCGAGUAGCAUAGGCUCGAUGUUCUUCUCCAUAUAGGCGCUGAUGAAGGUCUCCGAUUUUCUGGUGAAUUCAAAUACUCUAUAAUUUCUGUUUGAGUACGCACCUCUACCACAGGAAGUACACACACUUCAUGUCACCCGUGUUCCGGUACUGCGGAGCUGACAGGACUCUGGAUAUUUUGUCUUCCUAGAUUGGUCAUUUUGGGGCUGGUAAUUAUGCUUGCUCACCUUCUACA